UACGGAAGGGGCAAGCGUUGUUCGGAAUCACUGGGCGUAAAGCGCACGUAGGCGGAUUGUUAAGUCAGGGGUGAAAUCCUGGAGCUCAACUCCAGAACUGCCUUUGAUACUGGCGAUCUCGAGUCCGGGAGAGGUGAGUGGAACUGCGAGUGUAGAGGUGAAAUUCGUAGAUAUUCGCAAGAACACCAAUGGCGAAGGCGGCUCACUGGCCCGGUACUGACGCUGAGGUGCGAAAGCGUGGGGAGCAAACAGG
rnacentral:rRNA from 1 species